GCUGUUGGGCCCGCCCCCGCAGCUGUUGGACUGCUGCUCAGCGCCGGCGCGCCGCUUGCUCCCGAGCGCGUGUGCUCCACAGAUAGUAGGGGAUGGAACGCGGCGGGGAGCGGAGGGACGAGGACAAUGCGAACGCUCACAGCGCGCAGCACGUGCCCGAGGGCCCCCAGAAGCUUUACUCUGGGGGCUGGGACUCGCGGCCCACGGGGAGAGGGUGUUCUCGUGAACUUUCCUGGGGUUCUCUUUGUUGAUGACACCGGGGCCACGGUGGGGGCAGUAACCCCCCGGGGGAGGGGUCCUGGGAAUGAAUCGUAACCCAGCGCCUGGCCUUGAACAGGAUAUUAGUGGAAAUAUUGCUGUGGUUGUCAGGAAACGCGAGUGCAGCCGCACAGCUACUGCCAGUUAUGCAGCGAGGAUAUCCGGUGGCUGCGAGGUCUGUAAUUUAGAAUAAAAAGCUCUCCCAACACCCGAGAGGCUGACCUCAGCGCCGCGUGGCGGUAAUGCGCUCAGCGCCCUCUGUGGAGACUGUCCAAGUCCUGACAGGUGGAAGAGCUUAGGUUAGACCUUCAAGAACCCUGCAGAAUGUACCAACAGAAUCAGACUGCAAAAGUGAGCCAGCCACUUCCUAAACGAAGUUGAAGUGGAGGGCACGCUCGGCUGCCGGUUUCCAACAUUAAUAAGCACUGUUUUCCAGGGUGGCCUGCUACUUCCACACUGAGGUCUUUACAAAGUGGGUGAUUGACCGGCGUUCACCAAGCCAGAAGCAUGUAUCUGUCGAGCCUCGAGGCUAGAGAAGGAUCCAGGAUCACACAGCUGUCUUCUUAGAUAAAUCUGACCCACGCGGCCUUCUCUGGAGCAGACACUGUGCUCAGCAUUUACCAUGAAAGCCAGCGACUAGAAGCAGGUCUAUUUCUGGACCUCUGUGAGCCCCAAGCCAGGAUGCUGAAUUCUCUGGAAGGGAGGAAGCAAGUCCCAUGCAGCAGUGAGAAGGAAGCACUGAACCUUCCACAGGAAGCAGAGGGGAUCGUCCUCAGAGGAGAAGCUGGCUGAGCCUUCCACAGGAAGCAGAGGGGAUCGUCCUCAGAGGAGAAGCUGGCCGAGCCUUCCACGGGAAGCAGAGGGGAUCGUCCUCAGAGGAGAAGCUGGCUGAGCCUUCCACGGGAAGCAGAGGGGAUCGUGAUCGGC